rnacentral:rRNA from 1 species
CCUACGGGAGGCAGCAGUGAGGAAUAUUGGUCAAUGGCCGGGAGGCUGAACCAGCCAAGUCGCGUGAGGGAAGACGGCCCUACGGGUUGUAAACCUCUUGUGUCAGGGAGCAAGGUGCAGGUCGGGACCUGCUGUGAGAGUACCUGAAGAAAAAGCAUCGGCUAACUCCGUGCCAGCAGCCGCGGUAAUACGGAGGAUGCGAGCGGUAUCCGGAUUUAUUGGGUUUAAAGGGGGCGCAGGCGGAGGCACAAGUCAGCGGUAAAAUCGAGGGGCUCAACCCCGCGGCGCCGUUGAAACUGUGGCCCUUGAGUGCGCGAAGGGUAGGCGGAAUGCGUGGUGUAGCGGUGAAAUGCAUAGAUAUCACGCAGAACUCCGAUCGCGAAGGCAGCCUACCGGCGCGCAACUGACGCUCAUGCACGAAAGCGUGGGUAUCGAACAGGAUUAGAUACCCUAGUAGUC